rnacentral:rRNA from 1 species
GUGUUAGUGGAAGCGUCUGGAAAGUCGCACGAUACAGGGUGAAAGUCCCGUACACAAAAGUGCAUGUGUUGUGAACUCGAAGAGUAGGGCGGGACACGUGGUAUCCUGUCUGAAUAUGGGGGGACCAUCCUCCAAGGCUAAAUACUCCUGACUGACCGAUAGUGAACCAGUACCGUGAGGGAAAGGCGAAAAGAACCCCGGCGAGGGGAGUGAAAAAGAACCUGAAACCGUGUACGUACAAGCAGUGGGAGCACCCUUUGGGGUGUGACUGCGUACCUUUUGUAUAAUGGGUCAGCGACUUAUAUUCUGUAGCAAGGUUAACCGAAUAGGGGAGCCGAAGGGAAACCGAGUCUUAACUGGGCGUUAAGUUGCAGGGUAUAGACCCGAAACCCGGUGAUCUAGCCAUGGGCAGGUUGAAGGUUGGGUAACACUAACUGGAGGACCGAACCGACUAAUGUUGAAAAAUUAGCGGAUGACUUGUGGCUGGGGGUGAAAGGCCAAUCAAACCGGGAGAUAGCUGGUUCUCCCCGAAAGCUAUUUAGGUAGCGCCUCGUGAACUCAUCUUCGGGGGUAGAGCACUGUUUCGGCUAGGGGGUCAUCCCGACUUACCAACCCGAUGCAAACUGCGAAUACCGAAGAAUGUUAUCACGGGAGACACACGGCGGGUGCUAACGUCCGUCGUGAAGAGGGAAACAACCCAGACCGCCAGCUAAGGUCCCAAAGUCAUGGUUAAGUGGGAAACGAUGUGGGAAGGCACAGACAGCCAGGAUGUUGGCUUAGAAGCAGCCAUCAUUUAAAGAAAGCGUAAUAGCUCACUGGUCGAGUCGGCCUGCGCGGAAGAUGUAACGGGGCUAAACCAUGCACCGAAGCUGCGGCAGCGACACUANNNNNNNNNNGUGCGAAUGCUGACAUAAGUAACGAUAAUGCGGGUGAAAAACCCGCACGCCGGAAGACCAAGGGUUCCUGUCCAACGUUAAUCGGGGCAGGGUGAGUCGACCCCUAAGGCGAGGCCGAAAGGCGUAGUCGAUGGGAAACAGGUUAAUAUUCCUGUACUUGGUGUUACUGCGAAGGGGGGACGGAGAAGGCUAUGUUAGCCGGGCGACGGUUGUCCCGGUUUAAGCAUGUAGGCGGAGGUUCCAGGUAAAUCCGGUACCUUUUAACGCUGAGGUGUGAUGACGAGGCACUACGGUGCUGAAGUAACAAAUGCCCUGCUUCCAGGAAAAGCCUCUAAGCAUCAGGUAACACGAAAUCGUACCCCAAACCGACACAGGUGGUCAGGUAGAGAAUACCAAGGCGCUUGAGAGAACUCGGGUGAAGGAACUAGGCAAAAUGGUGCCGUAACUUCGGGAGAAGGCACGCUGAUAUGUAGGUGAAGUGAUUUACUCAUGGAGCUGAAAUCAGUCGAAGAUACCAGCUGGCUGCAACUGUUUAUUAAAAACACAGCACUGUGCAAACACGAAAGUGGACGUAUACGGUGUGACGCCUGCCCGGUGCCGGAAGGUUAAUUGAUGGGGUUAUCCGUAAGGAGAAGCUCUUGAUCGAAGCCCCGGUAAACGGCGGCCGUAACUAUAACGGUCCUAAGGUAGCGAAAUUCCUUGUCGGGUAAGUUCCGACCUGCACGAAUGGCGUAAUGAUGGCCAGGCUGUCUCCACCCGAGACUCAGUGAAAUUGAACUCGCUGUGAAGAUGCAGUGUACCCGCGGCAAGACGGAAAGACCCCGUGAACCUUUACUAUAGCUUGACACUGAACACUGGUCCUUGAUGUGUAGGAUAGGUGGGAGGCUUUGAAGUGUGGACGCCAGUCUGCAUGGAGCCAUCCUUGAAAUACCACCCUUUAAUGGCUGGUGUUCUAACGUAGACCCGUAAUCCGGGUUGCGGACAGUGUCUGGUGGGUAGUUUGACUGGGGCGGUCUCCUCCUAAAGAGUAACGGAGGAGCACGAAGGUUAGCUAAUCCUGGUCGGACAUCAGGAGGUUAGUGCAAAGGCAUAAGCUAGCUUGACUGCGAGAGUGACGGCUCGAGCAGGUGCGAAAGCAGGUCUUAGUGAUCCGGUGGUUCUGAAUGGAAGGGCCAUCGCUCAACGGAUAAAAGGUACUCCGGGGAUAACAGGCUGAUACCGCCCAAGAGUUCAUAUCGACGGCGGUGUUUGGCACCUCGAUGUCGGCUCAUCACAUCCUGGGGCUGAAGUAGGUCCCAAGGGUAUGGCUGUUCGCCAUUUAAAGUGGUACGCGAGCUGGGUUUAGAACGUCGUGAGACAGUUCGGUCCCUAUCUGCCGUGGGCGCUGGAGAAUUGAGGGGGGCUGCUCCUAGUACGAGAGGACCGGAGUGGACGCAUCACUGGUGUUCGGGUUGUCAUGCCAAUGGCAUUGCCCGGUAGCUAAAUGCGGAAGAGAUAAGUGCUGAAAGCAUCUAAGCACGAAACUUGCCCCGAGAUGAGUUCUCCCUGACUCCUUGAGAGUCCUGAAGGAACGUUGAAGACGACGACGUUGAUAGGUCGGGUGUGUAAGUGUAGCGAUACAUUGAGCUAACCGAUACUAAUGAACCGUGAGGCUUAACCUU